CAGCAGAGAGGCAGCGUAGAAGCCCCUGAAUAGCAAAUCAGAGGAGCCCGAAGCUCAAAUUUUGGGUGUAGUGUUUUCAGAACACCUCUUCAAAUAUUAAAUCCCAUGUUGUAUCUCUUUUAACAAUACUAGUCAAUUGAUUUUCCGACUCUGUUCUUUUAAAAAAAGAAUCAGACCUGCAUCUAAGAAUAGUGCACUAGGUCAUUGCUUGGUGUCCACUGCCUGCAGCAGAAGGGCUCAUCAUUGUGUUCCCGGCGCUCGCUCCCAACCAGCCCUGCUGUUUCGGCUCCAAGCAGAGAGGAGGAGGCCCUGCCUGUCUCCAUGACAACCGUGUGUCCUCCGGGAAGCUGCUCAGAGCUAAAGACCUUCUGAGGCGGGGGAGGGGCCGUUUCUGAGCAGAAUCUCACCUCGUUUCUCCUCUUUGCAGCGCAAUUUGCUAAAUUGUGUCUCUUUUAUUGUGUUUUUAUAUAAGACUGUCACACAAAAGUCACACACCCCAAACCUUAUUUCAUGAACAUAAAAGCCACAUCACAAGGAGUUUUCUAGCAUCUGGCACAUAAUUUCACACACCCCUCCCCUUUUUGUGUUAACUUUAACUUUGUCUCUAGUUCUUCAGUUCCCUGGAAUGCUUUAAAUAUUAAUGAACAUUCAAAAGCCAAACACUCCCUUAGCCUGGCAAUAUUGUUAGCAUACAUUAGAAAUACUUGAAAGGAAACACUUUUUUCUUUGCUUUGUGCUUAAAUUUACUAGCAUAAUUUAAAAUUGUGAGAUUAAAAAUGUCUUACCAUUAGAC
ensembl:lincRNA